GACGAACGCUGGCGGCGUGCUUAACACAUGCAAGUCGAACGGAAAGGCCCUGCUUUUGUGGGUUGCUCGAGGGGCGAACGGGGGAGUAACACGUGAGUAACCUGCCCUUGACUUUGGGAUAACUUCAGGAAACUGGGGCUAAUACCGGAUAGGAGCUCCUGCUGCAUGGUGGGGGUUGGAAAGUUUCGGCGGUUGGGGAUGGACUCGCGGCUUAUCAGCUUGUUGGUGGGGUAGUGGCUUACCAAGGCUUUGACGGGUAGCCGGCCUGAGAGGGUGACCGGCCACAUUGGGACUGAGAUACGGCCCAGACUCCUACGGGAGGCAGCAGUGGGGAAUAUUGCACAAUGGGCGGAAGCCUGAUGCAGCAACGCCGCGUGCGGGAUGACGGCCUUCGGGUUGUAAACCGCUUUCGCCUGUGACGAAGCGUGAGUGACGGUAAUGGGUAAAGAAGCACCGGCUAACUACGU
rnacentral:rRNA from 1 species